rnacentral:lncRNA from 1 species
UCUAUGCCUACGCAUAAUGUAUGGUAGCUGAUUGAUCCUCCAUAAUAGUGAUGAAGUAUAUAACAUGAAUCUGUUUUCUGGUUUGUGCUUUUGUGUAGCGCCCGGACCGAGAAGGAGAAGGAAAAAAAAAAAAAGCCACGUCGGCAGCCACGUCAGCAGGCCCGGUCAGCAGUCCCGGCCAACCGGGGCCUGCCACGUGGCAAGACCACGUCGCUCCGAAAAGGGGCCACGUUGGCGAUCCGCGUGCGUGCGAUCGGACGGUCCAGAUCAAUCGUGCGAUCGGACGGCCUAGAUGCAAUCGCACGGACGUCCCAGAUUCAAUAAAAAACGAACGGCCCAGAUUAAAACAAAAUGAACGGCUGAGAUCAAAAGGCAAGGGGUUAUAAAUAGAACCCCCACACCAGACCACAAACCCUAGCUGCCUGCUGCUCGCCGGAGA